ACGACUGCUGGUGCGGCGUAGUUAUAAGCUGCCGCUUCUGGUGCGGCGUAGUUAUAAGCUGCCGCUUCUGGUGCGGCGUAGUUAUA
rnacentral:tRNA from 1 species